CAUGCUGUGGGCAGGUGUCAGACACAGUGAAGAAGAUGGCAGAGGAGGCGGGUUCUGUGUGGAUCACCCAUAGCCAACACAUCGGCUCAGACUCCACAUCCCGCCCUUUUUUUUCCUGGUAAUGCAGACGCCAUCUUGUGUAGGGGAAUGUUAUGAGUUGAAUUGUGUCUUCCAAAAAGAAAUGUUGGAAGUCCUGGCCCAGGUCCUGCAGGAAAUGACCUUAUUUGGGGACAGAGUUGCUGCAGAUGUAAUUAGUUGAGAGCAUAAUGCACAAGAGUGGGACCUUCAUCCAGUAAGACUGGUGUCCUUACUGAAGAAGAAGGAGGAGGAGGAGGAGGAGGAGGAGGAGGAUAAUUUGGGCACAGACACAGAGGGAAGACAGCCAUGUGAAGACAGAGGAUGUGAUAAGGGAGAUGCAGUCACUAGUCAAAGAUGACCUGGGUGCCCAGAAACUGGAAAAGGCAGGAAGGAGCCUCUCCCAGAGACUUCAGACACCAUAUGGCCCUUCCAAUAGCUUAAUCUAGAGGUCUGGCCUCCAGAACUGUGAGAUACUAAAUUUCUGUUGUUAUAAGUUUGUGGUACAGGUUGAACAUUCCUAAUCUGAAAAUCCAAAAUCUGAACUGCUUCAAAAUCCAAAAAUUUUUGAGAACCGACAUGAUAAUAUAAGUGGGAAAUUUCACACCUGACCUCCAUGUGACAGACAGCAGUCAAAACAGACACAAGUUGUAUGACUUUACCUUCAGGCCACCUGUACCCAGUAUAUAUAGGAAACAUAAAUUAAUAUAUAGACUUGGGUCCCACCCCCAAGAUAUUUCCCUAUGUACAUGCAAAUACUCCAGAAUCUGAAGCCCUUCUAGUCCCAAGCAUUUUGAAUAAGGGAUACUCAACCUGUACUUUGUGACUUCAGCCCUAGGAGGUAAAGUUACCUUUUCCUCCUACAUGUGGCCUUGGAUGACAGUCAACCCCACCCAAGCUAAAGAAAGGGGUGCUUUUCCCCUCAAUUAUCAAUUUUGAUCAUUAAAAAAUUUGAGAUGUAGGCAAGGCCUCAAUUUGGAUCCCAGCUUUAUCACUUAGUGACCCAGUGGGACUGGGGUGACUUGGUCUAAGGAAAAGCUUGCCCUGGGGGCUGUGCCUCCUUGACUCAAUUUCCAAACAUCUAGAAGUGCCUUCAGAGGGAGCAAAGGAGCAUCCCACUGUGGACAAACUGGAACUCACUGGCGACUUACAAGUGGGAACCCCUCUUGAGCACCACUUUGGAAACAUGAAGAUAACUUUAUUCUGGCCAAGGAGGAGCCGCUGGGUAUUACUGCCACACUCAAUUCCCAGGAGUGUCAGAGAUGCUCAGUCAAUAUGAUUGUUAAAUUCACUAUUUGCAAAGGAUGUGGCAUAAGGAAAGAGAGAGAAGUCCCGAGAUGCUGGCCUACCUUCCCAGUUCACUGCAAGAAGCCAGAAUCCCAACGUGAAGAACAGAGAGGAGUGUGGCCUCCCCAGUUCUUCAGUCCAACCUGGGAGGACCUGGAUUGGUUCCUUUUCUCAGGACCAGCCCCUGUGGAAAUUGUUUUAGCAGACUGUUAAGUCAUGGAUACAACUUGGCUCCUGGCCAUGCUGCACUGAGGCCAUCUCCUGAGCAUCUACCAUGUGCUUGGCUCUGUAUGAAGUACAAGCAUUCAGUGAGAACCUGACCCUGGCAAUGGUGAACCCUGGAGACCUGUGCCAGAUUCUAAGGGCACAUGGAGGAGCAUCUAAACCACAAUGGGCCCAGGAGUUAGCAGGGAAAAAGACCACACAGAGCAUCCCCAAUCUGCAGAUGAGUAAACUAAGACUCUGAGAUGUCAGUUAAGCCGCAGUAGAAGGCAGAGCGGUGAAGCUGUAACUCAGUGACUUCAAAGUCCACAUUCUUUCUGCUGCACUAGAACACCACCCCGCAGAGUUGCGUCCGUGGGCAGCGUUCCCACACGCUCCUAUGUCCAUUCUCCCAGAGCUGCACUUGUUAGUUCACUUUUCUAAGUAUAUGCUGUAUAUGAAGGAGCUGUAUUUGAUGCUGGUAUCACAGAACUGAGUGAGAGUCAAGGUAGUCUAGAGGGGCUGGGGCACAGAUCUUAACAGCUAAUUAUAGAUGUAAUUUCAAGGCAAGAAAAAGGCUAUGAAAGUAACAAACAGGACUUGGGGAUUGAGAAAAACAGCUGGACUCUUAAAACCUAGAGACCAACGAACACCUGUUCUAAAAGGUAAUGCUUAAGCCAGUAGUUAGCAGCAAUUUGGGGCAUUUGGCAGUGUCUGGAGACCUUUCUGUCAUCACAACUGGGGAGUGGGAUGCUACUGGCAUCCAGUGAGGAGAGGUUGGGGGAGCUGCCAAAUACCCACCAGAGCCCAGAACAGCCCCAGCAACACAGAACUCUCCAGCCCGGCACAUCAAUGGUGCCAAGGCUGGGGGACCUGGGUUUAGACUAAAGUGUGCAGGUGGUAAAGAAGCCAGCCCUCUAAAGGAUGGGGGAGCACUCCAGUGCAAGGAACAGCAUGAGGCAUGGCUGGAAAACCAUGCUUCAAGUUCAGGAGGAUGUGGAGGGAUGUGACAGGAGGGGCCAGACCACACACAGCCUCAGUCUUGUACAGAAGUUGCCCUUUUCAUUCCCCGUAGUGGAAAACCUUUGAAAGGUCGUAAAUGACCAAAGGACACUCUGGCUGCUCUACAGAGAAGGAGGGGGGAAGGGCCAAAAGCAGAAUCCCAGAGGCCAAAGUGCGGCCCUGAAGAAAUGAGGGUAGAUUUGACCAGCACUGAAUCUUGAGAUUCAGGUCACUCCACAGUGCUGGCUGAUACAGCCCACCAAGGGCCAGGUUAAGAGAGGGAUCAAGAACUCAGCCUCAGACUGUACAGUGUGAGCCACCCAAUGAAACUGGGCACAAAGGGUGCCGGAAAGAGCAAUCGUUUAUGCAAAGUUAUGAGCUGUAGUUUGUUCUCUGUAUAGGGCUACAUCAACUUCACCUGGUAUGGGGGCUUUCAAAGAAACACCAAUGCCCAGGCACACAGCUUAGAUCAGGUUAGCCUGAGCUCCAGGAGUAGGUCCAAAGCCUCAGUGUGCUUUAAAAGCCCCCUGGUGAUUCAAAUGCACAGUGCUAUUGACAUCCAUCUUCCAACCUUGAGAAACUGUCCCAAGGUGGAGAGCUCUGUUCAUGGCAGCCCCUAAGCGGGCUGAGAAGCCUCACCUUUGUGCAUUACCAAAGGAACUCUCUCUCUUUUGUGUCUAUUUACAAUUCUGUCUCUGCUGCUUCUGUGGGUGGCUGAAUUCUAUCUGUCAAAACAAUGAGCUGCAGGUAGUCUCGGGUGUUCUCGGUUACCUGCAGUUCCAGACCUUUGGUUCUGAGACUCUCUUGUUUAUAGCAAUGUCGGUCACCUGGUGACGCCCUGGGGCUGAUUCCUCUCUUCCAUCCUCUGAGAGACAGAAUAUUUGCAUUUUCCCUUGUGAACUUUCUUUCCAAACAACUCCUAGCACCCUGUGCCACUGUGUACUCAAAGCAGAAGAUAAAGCAAACCUGGCCUGUUCUUCAAGGUCCAGUCCAAUCUCCAUUUCCUGUUAUUAUUGGGAAACCAUCAUGUGACUUUCUUUGUACCUGGUGCUUGGGGGUACCACGAUCCAUGUGAAUGUCAUGGUCCUGGGUCUAGGGAGCUCACCGUGUAGGUCAAGGUGUCUCAACCUGAGAGCUAUUGACAGUUGACGUGGGGUAAUUAAUGCUUUGUGGUGGAGGCUGUCCUGGGCAUUGUGGGGUAAACAUCCUGGCCUCAGCACAAGAUGCUGGUUCCCAUGCCUCCCAAUGUUGCAACCAAAAUUACCUCCAGACAUUGCCAAAUGUUCCCCUAGGAGAGCAAAGUGUCCCCAUAAAGAUUUAGUGCUCAAGGGGGAAGACGACAGCAAAUAAAUACUUACUCAUAGAAAAUGCUGAUGAAGGUAAUGAACUGGCAUAAACAGGAGAGAGAUAAUUGAACUUGGCAUGAACAGAGAGAUAAGAGCUCAACUCAAGAGGCUCUGUUCCAGCCCAGAACAUAGCUGGUAUUAUCUCCUUAAUGUUGCUUCCUCUGACGGCCUUAUUGCUUUUCUCCAUCUCAUUUGAUUGUUUGCUAUGCAGCCAGGUAUAAUACUGAACAUUCACCCAGCUCUAUUUCAUUUUAUUCUCAUAACUAUCCAAUGACCACAACUGGCACCACAAAUGAUUGAAGUUGUUUUUUUUCUUUCUUGGUACUGGGGAUUGAAUUCAGUUGUGCUUUACCACUGAGCUAUAUCUCCAGCCCUAUUCUAUUUUUUUUAUUUUGAUACAGAGUCUCAGUAAGUUUCCCAGGCUGACCUCCAACUUGUGAUCCUCCUAACUCUGCCUCCCAAGUAGCUGGGGUUAUAGGCAUAGACCCCUAUGCACAACUUGUGGAUUUUAUAUAUAAGUAAAUUUCCCUUAUAAUCAAUAGCUGAGAGGUUUUUCAAGAUGGCAGAGCAGAGAAGGUCGCUUUCUUGGCUGCUCCCUGAUGUGAAGCCAAGAAAGCAGGCAGGCAGCUUCUCAGCAAAGUGGGUAAACAAACAAAAAAAGUUGGGGAGGACGACUUUACUGGAAUUUAAAACUGGACAUACAAAAGAGAUCAUGGCUCAAGAGGUUGGAUAUGAUAAAAUAAGGAAGAAAUCUCCAGCAGCACAGCCGCUGCUUAUUACAGGUGUGCAGCACCAUGCUGGGCUGAUCAUACCGUUUCUGUUUAUUGUGAUAAUUAACACUGUAGAUGUCAUAGUAAAAACUAUUUUGUUUAAUGCUGUAUGUUUUUUGCAUUGGUUGUUAUUAUUAUUUGCCUCCCC
rnacentral:lncRNA from 1 species